CGAGUGGAUUUCCACGCGGAAAGGAUGUUGGCGGCCCCGGUGACACGGCUUGGACCCACCUUCCCGCGUGAUCUUUUGACCAGAAAGGAAUUAAAAAGAUACCCCCAUGAUGGCCAUACCUGUCAGCUGCAUGGAGCUUCAUCCAAGGAUUUUCUGAGCUGUAUGGAUUUACAGUGAUGUUCAGCUGCCUGGAAAUAACACUGGUGGAAGCCCUCCCUGGAAUUACACACAUUUCUGGAUGCUGAAGGUGGAUUUGAGGAAGGCCCCGGUUGUGAGCUUCAUGGAUUCCUGCAGCCCGGAUGCCCGAGGGGGACGGAGGACCACAGCUGCCUGAAUUCUGAUCUUGAACAGGAAUGUUUGGUUGGGUCUCUCCAGCUCCCUGUGGGGCUCCCUAGGAAAUAAUCCUGUUAUGCCUGGGAUUUAGGUGCCUUUGAUCUGAGAACACACCUAUCCAUUCAACACUCCAGAGGGACCUGAGCACAGGCCUUCCCUGAACAGCAGCUGCAGUAUCUUGAGAUUUGGAGAAUGGAGUACGUCAGUCCCUGGCAGCGGUGGCUUCUGUCUCCAAGCAGUGUGCCCGUUAAGUUGGAACCGGUCUCUUCCUGCAAGUCAGAACAGUUGAAUGCCAUCUCAGGCUGAAUGGCUGCUUUCCUGCUACAAUGGAGGAGCUGAGUACUGAGAGAAACGUAAGGCCUUCAACACCUAAGACACACUCUCUGACUUUUUACCAUAAAUCCCCGUGGCUCCUGCUCUGAAUGCCAAGUCGGCCCUGUCCGCAGAAAGACUGAAUAACAUGCUCCCAGAGUCCUAAGCCCCAAGGAGAGGGACGCCCAGAACCACUGAAGGCUGAAUGCACCAAGACUCAAACGACACCAGUCCAUGAAGCCUUCAUCCAUCAGUCAUUGUUCAGCUUGCCCUCCUUCUGGAGCCCUUGCCUCUUGGUGCCCUUGGCCCGGCACUUCUCAAGGCCUCUGUAGACUCGGGGGCCUCUGGCCACACCUGCCUCUCCUUGUAGAAUGUGGGAAGUUCAAGAGCAAAGACUGUGGCAUCCUUUACCGGCCUCUUCAGCAGCAGCAAGACUGAAUCUGGAAACCGUCCUACGAAGUGCCAAGCUCCCUCCAAGACCCAGCGGUGGUGUGAAGACUCGCAUUGGUUUGAAUCCCAGCUCUGCCACUUGCGGGCUGGGGGACUUUGGGAGAAUUAUUAGCUUCUCUAUACCUCAGUUUUCCCAUCUGUACAGUGGGACUAAUAAUGUGAAUUUUUAAUGAAAUAAAUCACCCAAAGCCCUUUCAACAGUGCGAAGCACGUGGAAAACACUCAAGAAAUGCCAGCGAUGUUUUUGGUAUGAUUAUCACUCUUGUCAUUACCUCACUACUGCUGCACACACCAGCCAUACCAAAUUACUUGUUGACAGUUUUGAUGGUCUUGCAGGUGUCUUUGCUUUUACACUUGAUAUUCCUUCUGCUUAGAAGUUCCUCUUUCUCAUCUACUCAUUCAUUCAUACUUAGCCCUUCAUUUAUUUAACAAAGUUUUUGCUGAGCUCAUAAAGAUUCAACCUGUAUAUUCAGCUCAGUCAGCCCUUGCUGGCCAUUCCCACUGGAUUUCCCACUCCUGUUUCAAAGGCCCACUUACUCUUCUGUAUCUCUGUGAACUUGAGAGCAGUAAAGGUGCCCCUUUCCCCACAGGGUUUACUACUUUGAACCCAGUUCCUAAUGUCAUGGCUGGAACAUAGUAUGAGCUUAAUAAAUGUUUGCUGAAUGAAUACGUGAAUGUUGCUCAUUUUGGAAUCUGUCCCCAGUGCCUAGUACAUUGUAGGUACUCACCCAGGACACUUUCACUUGCGUGAAACCAAAUCACUCUGAAUUCAUAUCACCUAAAGGUCUGGUUAGGGGAAGGCCACUUUUAAGGCAUAUCUGCAUUUUGCCUCUUUCCGAACCAGAAGGCUUUCCCUGGUCCUGUUUUCACCUAAAGGUCUGGUUAGGGGAAGGCCACUUUUAAGGCAUAUCUGCAUUUUGCCUCUUUCCGAACCAGAAGGCUUUCCCUGGUCCUGUUUUCACCUAAAGGUCUGGUUAGGGGAAGGCCACUUUUAAGGCAUAUCUGCAUUUUGCCUCUUUCCGAACCAGAAGGCUUUCCCUGGUCCUGUUUGACGAAGUUUAAAAUGACAGCAGGGGUUGUUCUCUGAAGGUGCACCUGUGUUCCUUGGGCCACGCCCAGGGUCAUCAAGAACUGCUCAACUCCAUGUUUGCUGACGCACUUCAGAGUGUGUCUCAUGGUCUCUUGGAACCCCCGUGCCUAAAGCAGUGCCUGGAAACCGAGGAGGGAGGAAGAGGAGGGAAGGAAGCAAGGAAGGGGCCCUUCUUCACUGGCCAGUAUCUUAGAGAGGACAAUCUGGAGUCAAAACAUUGUCCCACUAGUCUACUGGGGUGGAUGGCAACAUGUGGCCAAAACAGUCCCUUAGGCCCUUCUUUCGUGUGUUGGAUUUUUUUGGCAGCUGAGCUCUGGUCUUGCUUAGCAAGGUGGCUCUAGAGCGUGAUCUACCCUCUUUCUGUCUCAUCUUCUGCAGUUGUUUGGUUU